rnacentral:sRNA from 1 species
GCCGGGCGCGGUGGCGGGCGCCUGUAGUCCCAGCUACUUGGGAGGCUGAGGCAGGAGAAUGGCGUGAACCCGGGAGGCGGAGCUUGCAGUGAGCUGAGAUCCGGCCACUGCACUCCAGCCUGGGUGACAGAGCCAGACUCCGUCUCAA